rnacentral:rRNA from 1 species
GAUGAACGCUGGCGGCAUGCCUAAGACAUGCAAGUCGAACGAGAUGGCCCAGUGAAGGUUGAGUGCUUGCACGAGACUGAAUCUGGAUUCCCAUCUAGUGGCAGACGGGUGAGUAACACGUGGGUGACCUACCUUUUCGUUGGGGAUAACAGUUGGAAACGAUUGCUAAUACCGAAUAAAAUGUAAGAGUCAAUUUUACAUUGAAAGGAGCCUUUAAAGCUUCGCGAUUAGAUGGGCCUGCGGCGUAUUAACUAGUUGGUGAGGUAAUGGCUUACCAAGGUGACGAUGCGUAGCCGAACUGAGAGGUUGAUCGGCCACAUUGGGACUGAGACACGGCCCAAACUCCUACGGGAGACAGCAGUUAGGAAUAUUCGUCAAUGGAGGAAACUCUGAACGAGCAAUGCCGCGUGAGUGAUGAAGGUCUUAUAGAUUGUAAAACUCUGUUGUAUGGAAAAAACGGCUAGGUUAGGAAAUGAACUUAGUGUGAUGGUACCAUACCAGA